CCUACGGGUGGCAGCAGUGGGGAAUAUUGGACAAUGGGCGAAAGCCUGAUCCAGCAAUGCCGCGUGAGUGAUGAAGGCCUUAGGGUUGUAAAGCUCUUUUACCCGGGAUACUGUACCGGGAGAAUAAGCCCCGGCUAACUCCGUGCCAGCAGCCGCGGUAAUACGGAGGGGGCUAGCGUUGUUCGGAAUUACUGGGCGUAAAGCGCACGUAGGCUGCUUUGUAAGUUAGAGGUGAAAGCCUGGUGCUCAACACCAGAACUGCCUUUAAGACUGCAGAGCUAGAAUCGCGGAGAGGUGAGUGGAAUUCCGAGUGUAGAGGUGAAAUUCGUAGAUAUUCGGAAGAACACCAGUGGCGAAGGCGGCUCACUGGCGGUAUUGACGCUGAGGUGCGAAAGCGUGGGGAGCAAACAGGAUUAGAUACCCUAGUAGUC
rnacentral:rRNA from 1 species